rnacentral:rRNA from 1 species
UACGUAGGGUGCAAGCGUUGUCCGGAAUUAUUGGGCGUAAAGAGCUCGUAGGCGGCUUGUCGCGUCGGCUGUGGAAAACCUGGGGCUCCAACCCCGGGCCUGCAGCCGGAUACGGGCAAGCUAGAAUUCGGUAGGGGAGACUUGGAAUUCCUGGUGUAGGCGGUGAAAGUGACGGCAGAUAUCAGGAGGAACACCGGUGGCGAAGGCGGGUCUCUGGGCCGAUAUUGACGCUGAGGAGCGAAAGCGUGGGGAGCGAACAGG